rnacentral:lncRNA from 1 species
UGGACAUUACUUUGGAGGGCAGAGCUGGCGUCAUAAGCUGCCUGGCUCGCAUCCCGGAUUGUCUUCAGCUGCUCCAUCAUGAGUCCUGCCUGGCGUAUUGCCUCCUUCGCUGCACCAGCUUGGUCCUCUGGGACGUGGUGAGUCGUGAAGAGGGAGGGCUGCUGAGCACUCGUCAGUGGGGUCGCGAAGGUCACCGUGUGUCGAGUGGUGUUCUCUUCCUCCACAGUCAGAAUUUCAGGCGCUGACACAUCCUGAGGCACCUUACUGGCGGGCGCUUUUCGACUCCUCCUGUGCUUCAGCGGCUCUUCAUCCUCAUCAUCAUCAGGAAGAUCGAUAACAGUGUUGGGUGGAGCUGCGGAGAAGGGUCAGGAUCAGAGAUCACGAGUCAGUCGACUAAGAAUGGUAUUAAGAGCACAGUACCUGGAUUCGAAGUUGC